CACUCCUACGGGAGGCAGCAGUGGGGAAUAUUGGACAAUGGGCGCAAGCCUGAUCCAGCCAUGCCGCGUGAGUGAUGAAGGCCCUAGGGUUGUAAAGCUCUUUCACCGGAGAAGAUAAUGACGGUAUCCGGAGAAGAAGCCCCGGCUAACUUCGUGCCAGCAGCCGCGGUAAUACGAAGGGGGCUAGCGUUGUUCGGAAUUACUGGGCGUAAAGCGCACGUAGGCGGAUCGAUCAGUCAGGGGUGAAAUCCCAGGGCUCAACCCUGGAACUGCCUUUGAUACUGUCGAUCUGGAGUAUGGAAGAGGUGAGUGGAAUUCCGAGUGUAGAGGUGAAAUUCGUAGAUAUUCGGAGGAACACCAGUGGCGAAGGCGGCUCACUGGUCCAUUACUGACGCUGAGGUGCGAAAGCGUGGGGAGCAAACAGGAUUAGAUACCCGAGUAGUCCC
rnacentral:rRNA from 1 species